AUCGCUUCUCGGCCUUUUGGCUAGGAUCAAGUGUAGUAUCUGUUCUUAUCAGUAGAAAACCCUUCUUUCAGGAAAUCUAUGUCUUUGUUUCUCAAAAACACAUUUAUAUCGUGGUGAAACCAUUGGUCGACAUGACAAUUUUCCACUAUUCUCUGAACUUCUCUCAAUCAUUGGGAUAUUUACCU